rnacentral:rRNA from 1 species
AUUGAACGCUGGCGGCAUGCUUUACACAUGCAAGUCGAACGGCAGCACGGACUUCGGUCUGGUGGCGAGUGGCGAACGGGUGAGUAAUACAUCGGAACGUGCCCAGUUGUGGGGGAUAACUACUCGAAAGAGUAGCUAAUACCGCAUGAGAACUGAGGUUGAAAGCAGGGGAUCGUAAGACCUUGCGCAACUGGAGCGGCAGAGGGCAGAUUAGGUAGUUGGUGGGAUAAAAGCUUACCAAGCCGACGAUCGGUAGCUGGUCUGAGAGGACGACCAGCCACACUGGGACUGAGACACGGCCCAGACUCCUACGGGAGGCAGCAGUGGGGAAUUUUGGACAAUGGGCGAAAGCCUGAUCCAGCAAUGCCGCGUGCAGGAUGAAGGCCUUCGGGUUGUAAACUGCUUUUGUACGGAACGAAAAGCUUCGGGUUAAUACCCUGGAGUCAUGACGGUACCGUAAGAAUAAGCACCGGCUAACUUCGUGCCAGCCGCCGCCGUAAGAC